UAUAUAAAGUGUAGACAUUGAAAAUCAUGUGGAAUGAAUCUCACCCUGAUGAAAAUCUAGCAAUAAAACAAUUAAGUGAACAUACAAUGCUUUGAAAAUUGUUGAGAAAAACAUUUUGAAGAAGCAAGCUGUCUUUCAAGCUUAAGAGAUACUGUGUCUUGAUAGUGGUUGUGUAAGUAGCUUAAUAGAGCAAUUUCUUUUUCUUAUUUUUUAAUUCUCCUGAACAUUUGUUUAUAUGUUCUGCAAGAGUGGAUCCUGGGAUUCCUGGGGCCCAGAAGCUUGCUUGCAGAAUUAUAGAAAACCAGUUCGACUGCUUCAUCUGGGUGCAGAUCUGUAUAUUUAAGUGAAAGGACUACAUAACUUUCAUCUAAUAGAAAAUAUUAUCCACACCUCAGCAGCCAGUGGCUGGUGGUGACAGGAAUAUUGUAGGAUUCCAGCUGUUGCAAUGUUUGGAGUGCAAGGGCUAUUUGUCCAGGCAUGGGACAGAGAUUUCAAUGGAUGAAUCUCACUCCAGAGAUGCUUAUACUGGUACUGGGGGAUUCUCUUGAGUAGACUUUUCAUAUGCCCAAAAAACGUGAAGCCUGAAGGAACGCUCUUCUCUACUGGUGCCUUGUGGUCCACUGGAAAACUCCUCUGAUUUUAUUGCAAGUCUCAAGAAGAAUACAAAAUCUGGAACUGAAUUGUCAACCUAAGAAAGGAGAAAACUUUUAUUAUUACCAAAGGUUGUCUUCUGAAGGAGGAGUAAAAUCUGCAUCAAAAUUUUCAAGCAUUGUCUCAUGUAAGGGAAGUGCUCUGUUGCCCCAGAAUUUCAUGCAGGAUGCUUAUCAGGUGCAAGGAAAUGCAUGGAGGAGUCCAAGUGUUAUAGCCACCUGACCUGGAUGUUCUUUCAAGCUUGUGAAGCAAGGUAUUGAAAGCACCUUUACCUGUGUGUACCUGAAUGUGGGAAAUGAACGUUCAAGCUCUUCCUGAUGUGACAAAGAAACAGAAAUGUAGUCUGGAUAAGGAUCUAAUUUUUGAGCUGUUUAUCUGAAGCAAGGCUGGGUGCCCGCCCAUCACUGGCUGCAAAGUGUUGCUUAGAUCAUCGCAGAAGUGACACAGCCUGUUCCCGUUGAGCACUGUACACCAUCCCACACACUCUGGGGAUACCUCCCAGCGCAUUGCUGAGAAAAGCUGUUGUUCUGGCUCGAAAUCACAUCUGGCAGCUGUUAUUUGACUACAGAAUUUUCCUCUGUAUAAUGUGAGGUUUGGGACCAGUCAUUACUCCGUACUAAACUUGAUUUUGUGUGAUUCUGUGUAAUUUUUUUUUCUAAUGGUAAAAUAAAAAGGGUGACUGUUUUAAAACUGGUGUUAUUUAAAACUCAAACAGUAAUAAAAAGGAACAGUAUUCUUGAUACUAAUAA